rnacentral:rRNA from 14 species
UGGCACCUCGAUGUCGGCUCAUCACAUCCUGGGGCUGUAGCCGGUCCCAAGGGUAUGGCUGUUCGCCAUUUAAAGUGGUACGCGAGCUGGGUUUAGAACGUCGUGAGACAGUUCGGUCCCUAUCUGCCGUGGGCGUUUGAGAUUUGAUAGGAGCUGUCCUUAGUACGAGAGGACCGGGAUGGACAUACCUCUGGUGGACCUGUUGUUGCGCCAGCAGC